rnacentral:lncRNA from 1 species
AAUGUAUGUGGGUUGGUUUGGUUAAUGACUAUACAAGUUGAGUAUGAUAUGGUUCGGUAAAUGGUUAAAUAUAAUGUACACAUGACGUUGAUAUCUAAAGUUAUAUGCUACACCAUUAAGUAAAGUUACUAUUGCCGAAUGUACUUUUUUUUUUUUAGUUUUGUGAGAUAUUGGUUAUUAAGUUAUCAAGUGAAUAAUAUAAUGUUUCAUAAAUAAAAG